rnacentral:rRNA from 1 species
GCACAAGCGGUGGAUGAUGUGGAUUAAUUCGAUGCAACGCGAAAACCUUACCUACCCUUGACAUGUCCGGAAUCCCGAAGAGAUUUGGGAGUGCUCGCAAGAGAACCGGAACACAGGUGCUGCAUGGCUGUCGUCAGCUCGUGUCGUGAGAUGUUGGGUUAAGUCCCGCAACGAGCGCAACCCUUGUCAUUAGUUGCCAUCAUUUGGUUGGGCACUCUAGAGAGACUGCCGGUGAUAAACCGGAGGAAGGUGGGGACGACGUCAAGUCCUCAUGGCCUUUAUGCCCAGGGCUACACACGUGCUACAAUGGAUCGUACAAAGGGUCGCGAACCCGCGAGGGGGAGCCAAUCCCACAAAGCCGGUCGUAGUCCGGAUCGCAGUCUGCAACUCGACUGCGUGAAGUCGGAAUCGCUAGUAAUCGCGGAUCAGCAUGUCGCGGUGAAUACGUUCCCGGGUCUU